UUGAUGUUCCUGAUUCUGGUAUACAAGAUUUUUCUUAGCUAUGUAAAAAAAUAAUUACUUCUGGCACUCACUCUGAUGACUCAUCCAUGGGAAAUAGCUUUUUUUGAUUGUGACAUUACAUGUUGGCAGAUAUGAUAUGUUAAAAUCUAGUCCAUAAACCUCACUCACCCUCAUUUAUACUCUAGUUAUGAUUAUCAGACUGUAGAGGAACACAUUUCUCUGAAGAAACCACUAG